AUUAAGUAACGUCCUGUCAAC
rnacentral:siRNA from 1 species